rnacentral:rRNA from 1 species
GACGGAGGAUGCAAGCGUUAUCCGGAAUGAUUGGGCGUAACGCGUCCGCAGGUGGCAGUUCAAGUCUGCUGUCAAAGACCGGGGCUUAACUUCGGAAAGGCAGUGGAAACUGAACAGCUAGAGUAUGGUAGGGGCAGAGGGAAUCCCUGGUGUAGCGGUGAAAUGCGUAGAGAUCAGGAAGAACAUCGGUGGCGAAGGCGCUCUGCUGGACCAUAACUGACACUCAGGGACGAAAGCUAAGGGAGCGAAUGGG